UCAUCCAUCAAGUUUGAGAGUCUUACACCUUUCUUUCUUUUUUUUGAAUUUAUUUUCAAGGCUUACAAGACUUAGGCUCAGAGGUCCCUGCUCCAGGCUAGAGCAGCCAGUGGAAGCACCAGCACCAGAGAUGAUGGAGUCAAAAUGACUGCUUUGCUGCUGCUGUAUGUACCUUGGAGCUGGAUUUUUCUAUGAAGUCUGUAGAAGCUUGUUACCAUGUUAAAUGCCCAGCUUUCAUGAAGUCCACACCUGAAGGGUUUGUUGUCCUUCUAGUCGUGUAUUUUCAGCCCAUCCAACACUUUUCUGAGGUACUGGUACUUGCAUCUUUUGCUUCAGCAUCCGAGAAAUUCAAGGAUCUUCUUGGCUUCCACAUUAUGGGAGAUAUUGCACUCAGAUAA
rnacentral:lncRNA from 1 species